rnacentral:rRNA from 1 species
UCUGGUUGAUCCUGCCAGUAGUCAUACGCUUGUCUCAAAGAUUAAGCCAUGCAUGUCUAAGUAUAAAGGUUACAUACAAUGAAACUGCGAAUGGCUCAUUCAAACAGUUAUAGUUUAUUUGGAUUUACACAUUAGUUAAAUGGAUAACCGUAGUAAUUCUAGGGCUAAUACAUGCGUUACGGGGGACUUUACGGAACCCCAGUAUUUAUUAGAUUCAAACCAAUAUUCCGAAGGUCUACUUGAGAUGAUUCAUGAUAACUGAUCGAAUUGCUGGCCUACCGGCAAUAAGUCAUUCAUGUUUCUGCUUCCCAUCAGCUUGAUGGUAGUGUAUUGGACAACCAUGGCAUUCACGGGCUAUCGGGGGAUUAGGGUUCGAUUCCGGAGAGGGAGCCUGAGAAACGGCUACCACUUCUACGGAAGGCAGCAGGCGCGAAAAUUAUCCAAUCCUGAUUCAGGGAGGUAGUGAAACAAAUAAUGAACUAGGAUUUAUCCUGGGGCCACAAUGGGCUUGAUUUGCAAACUUUAUUUAGCGAGGAACAAUUGGAGGGCAAGUCUGGUGCCAGCAGCCGCGGUAAUUCCAGCUCCAAUAGUGUAUAUUAAUGUUCCUGCAGUUAUUCGAUGCUCGUAGUUGGAUUUCUGGAGGCUGAGAUCGGAGGGUAGCCAAGGUUACCGCUGAACUCUUCCUUCAUCCACCUGUUAACGUUGUCCGGGAUUCGUUUCUCGGCUUCGGGCUCAGGCAUAUACUUUUACCCUUUUUCUAUAUUUAUUGUUUUGAGUAAAUUAUAGUGUUUCAGGCAGGCGUGCGCCGGAAUACUUUAGCAUGGAAUAAUCGAAUUGGACCGUGUAUUCUUAUUGAAUUCUUCCUUAUUGUUGGUUCAAGGACACGGAAAUGGUUAAUAGGGAUAGUGUUUUUAUUAUCAGGGGAGGCAUUAGUAUUUAAUUUCCAGAGGUGAAAUUCUUUGAAAUAUUAAAGACUAACUUAUGCGAAAGCAUUUAUUAUUGCCAAUAAUGUUUUCAUUAAUCAUUGAACGAAAGUUAGGGGAUCAAAGACGAUCAGAUACCGUCCUAGUCUUAACCAUAAACGUUGCCGACUAGGGAUCGGAGGGCGUGCACAUUCCGCCUUCGGCACCUUACGAGAAAUCAAAGUCUUUUGGGUUCUGGGGGUAGUAUGGUCGCAAGGCUGAAACUUAAAGGAAUUGACGGAAGGGCACCACCAGGAGUGGAGCUUGCGGCUCAAUUUGACUCAACACGGGAAAUCUUACCAGGUCCAGACAUAGCGAGGAUUGACAGAUUGAUAGCUCUUUCUUGAUUCUAUGGGUAUUUUAUAUAUAUUUUGGUGGUGCAUGGCCGUUCUUAGUUGGUGGAGUGAUUUGUCUGGUUAAUUCCGUUAAACGAACGAGACCUCAGCCUGCUAAAUAGUUACCUGUCUUUUCAUUUUCU